AUGAUGUUUACAGAGCCCUCAAACUGCAUCAUCCUCGAUGGCACUUGCAUGCGGCAUGGACCUACUCGCAUGUUACAAAUUGUAUCAAUAAAGUUGGCUAAAAUUGCUAUGGAUGGGCCAAUAGCGUUGUAUGGAUACAUAGCACUGCGGGAUAAUCUGGAUCGAUGCCUUAAUUAUGUCGUCAAAUUUAGCAGGGAUGGUCCCAUCAUUGUGGAGCAGGGUUCUCUCAUCAACUUGACUGGCCCCAAGCGAGGGAUUGAUUUUCUGGGUGGUAUUUUAAUCGAAUACGACAUGAGGAUCAAGACUGCUGAACCAGAAAAUCAUGAUCUACAGCUGAUCGAUGGGGUAUCAAUUCUAGGCAACAUGGGCAUGCGGAAUCGUAGUGUGUUCACGGGUCGCAUCCAUGGUGAUUGUGGUGCUGUUGACAUAACUUUUUCAAAUCUUGAAAAUGCAGUUGAGGCAACUGUAGAAGUUGCCAUAUCAGAAGUGCAAAGCAGUUUCAAUCUGUCUCUCGACUGUUUUACCAGUGGGUUGAAUGAACAAAUUCGGCUCUUCGAUGGCACCAUUGGUGAGGCGCAGAGUUUAAAAAGGUUUGUGGUUGCUGUGGUGAUAGAUUUUUGGAUACACUUGAAGUUCAAGGUUGCCCCGAAGCGAUCCAGUUCCGCUGAACAUGAUUGUUUCUUCAAUGCUGGCAACAUUGCAUUAAUGUCAGUAAAGGUGACCUGGUCGCCAUUGCCCGAGGGGUUCUAG
rnacentral:rRNA from 1 species